rnacentral:rRNA from 1 species
UACGUAGGGGGCAAGCGUUGUCCGGAUUUAUUGGGCGUAAAGAGCGUGUAGGCGGCUUGGUAGGUCCGCUGUGAAAACUCGAGGCUCAACCUCGAGAUGUCGGCGGAAACCACUUGGCUAGAGUCCGGAAGAGGAGAGUGGAAUUCCUGGUGUAGCGGUGAAAUGCGCAGAUAUCAGGAAGAACACCUAUGGCGAAGGCAGCUCUCUGGGCAUUAACUGACGCUGAGGAGCGAAAGCAUGGGGAGCGAACAGG